GACGAACGCUGGCGGCGUGCCUAAUACAUGCAAGUUGAGCGCUGAAGGUUGGUACUUGUACCAACUGGAUGAGCAGCGAACGGGUGAGUAACGCGUGGGGAAUCUGCCUUUGAGCGGGGGACAACAUUUGGAAACGAAUGCUAAUACCGCAUAAAAACUUUAAACACAAGUUUUAAGUUUGAAAGAUGCAAUUGCAUCACUCAAAGAUGAUCCCGCGUUGUAUUAGCUAGUUGGUGAGGUAAAGGCUCACCAAGGCGAUGAUACAUAGCCGACCUGAGAGGGUGAUCGGCCACAUUGGGACUGAGACACGGCCCAAACUCCUACGGGAGGCAGCAGUAGGGAAUCUUCGGCAAUGGACGAAAGUCUGACCGAGCAACGCCGCGUGAGUGAAGAAGGCUUUCGGAUCGUAAAACUCUGUUGGUAGAGAAGAACGUUGGUGAGAGUGGAAAGCUCAUCAAGUGACGGUAACUACCCAGAAAGGGACGGCUAACUACGUG
rnacentral:rRNA from 1 species